rnacentral:rRNA from 1 species
GAGCCACGGGCGCAGCAGUAGGGAAUCUUCUACAAUGGACGAAAGUCUGAUGGAGCAACGCCGCGUGAGUGAAGAAGGGUUUCGGCUCGUAAAGCUCUGUUGGUAGUGAAGAAAGAUAGAGGUAGUAACUGGCCUUUAUUUGACGGUAAUUACUUAGAAAGUCACGGCUAACUACGUUCCAGCAGCCGCGGUAAUACGUAGGUGGCAAGCGUUGUCCGGAUUUAUUGGGCGUAAAGCGAGUGCAGGCGGUUUAAUAAGAC